GACGAACGCUGGCGGCGUGCUUAACACAUGCAAGUCGAGCGGAGCCGCGAACGGGUGAGUAACGCGUGAGUAACUACCCCCCUCUCUGGGAGAACAGUUGGAAACGGCUGCUCAUACCGGAUAGUGGGGGAUGACUCGCGUCCUAUCAGCUUUGUGGUGGUGUAGUGGCCUACCAAGGCGACGCCGGGUAGCCGGCUUGAGAGGGCGACCGGCCACAGUGGGCUGAGAUACGGCCCCAACUCCUACGGGAGGCAACAGUGGGGAAUAUUGCACAAUGGGGGACACCCGUAUGCAGCAACGCCGCGUGCGGGAUGACGGCCUUCGGGUUGUAAACCGCUUUCAGCCAUGACGCGGUAGUGGCAGAAGAAGCACCGGCUAACUACGUGCCAGCAGCCGCGGUAAUUC
rnacentral:rRNA from 1 species